AUGGUGGCAUGUGCCGAAAGAUUAGGUGUGCCCCGUGGCUCUCGGAUGUUCAGGUACGCGCUUCAAGCUGUCGCCUUUCGCAGCAAAGAGAAGAUUGCUGCCAAAGUGGAGUUCAUGAAGAAUGCAUUCACGUGGUCAGAUGCCGAGGUGAGCAUUGCUCUGUCUAAGGCUCCGCUCUUGCUAAGGAGGUCAAAGGAACAUCUGCAGCGCACUUCCAAUUUUCUCAUCUCCGAGGUUGGCUUGGAACCGGCUUACAUUGCCCGUCUUCCGGCAUUGAUCACUUACAGCCUGGAAGGCAGGCUCCGACCGCGGCACUACGCUGUGAAGUUUCUUACAGAAAAUGGAUUGCUAGAUCACGGCGGGAGCUACUAUGUAAUUUUCAAGAUGACUGAGAAGGUUUUCGUGGAAAAGUACAUAUGUCCUCACAAGGAAGCUGUGCUGCACCUUGCCAAAUACUAUGCUGCCGCUUGUCGAGGGGAAGUGCCUGCCCACUAG
rnacentral:rRNA from 1 species